UACGAAGGGGGCUAGCGUUGCUCGGAAUCACUGGGCGUAAAGCGCACGUAGGCGGAUCUUUAAGUCAGGGGUGAAAUCCUGGAGCUCAACUCCAGAACUGCCUUUGAUACUGGGGAUCUCGAGUCCGGAAGAGGUGAGUGGAACUCCGAGUGUAGAGGUGAAAUUCGUAGAUAUUCGGAAGAACACCAGUGGCGAAGGCGGCUCACUGGUCCGGUACUGACGCUCAGGCACGAAAGCGUGGGGAGCAAACAGG
rnacentral:rRNA from 1 species